rnacentral:lncRNA from 1 species
CUGGGCUGCCUGCUCGCGCGCGCGGGAGGAAGGCGGGCCGAGGCGGCUGGGCCGGCUCAGCCAAGUGAGCAGGUAGGGUUUUCUUCUCCCCUUUUUUUUUUUCUGUUUUUGCGAAUAGUUUUUGGAUUCAAAUUUCAAACACCUUUUUGAAUAGCUGAGAAGUAGGAGAUCAAAUAUGUUACUAGUAUUUGUAAAAUAUUCAAAUGAGUUAAAGGUUUGAAACAUACCCAUUUGACUCUCAUUUGAAAAAUAGAGGGAAAAGAAUUCAAACUCGAAGGAGGAUGAUUCAUAUUUGAAUCUUCUAGCCAAAUUACACAACAAGCAUUUAAACCACAAGUUGAGAUGCAAAUUUAAAACUCAUGUGACACAAAUAAGUAGACAUGGC